UACGUAGGGUGCAAGCGUUAAUCGGAAUUACUGGGCGUAAAGCGUGCGCAGGCGGCUAUGCAAGACAGAUGUGAAAUCCCCGGGCUCAACCUGGGAACUGCAUUUGUGACUGCAUAGCUAGAGUACGGUAGAGGGGGGAUGGAAUUCCGCGUGUAGCAGUGAAAAUGCGUAGAUAUGCGGAGGGAACACCCGAUGGCGAAGGCAAUCCCCCUGGACCUGUACUGACGCUCAUGCAC
rnacentral:rRNA from 1 species